AAGAAGAGCACUUCGAAGCUAGAGAAUCAGCUCAAGUUCCUUCAGAGAGAAUAGUAACACAAACUCAAAGAGCCAGGCUAUUUCUCCUGACUUUGUGAAAUCAGAGGUAGAAGUGAAAGUCAUCCCCAGGGAUGUGGGAAUACGUUUAACCCUGGUGCUGGCCUUGAAUGAAGGGCUCUUAGCUUGAGAGCCUGAAAGGCUGGAGCAGUCUGGGGUCGAGAGAAACAGGAGGUGUCCUGAGCUCUCAUACUGAUUCCAGUGCAGCAUUAUAAUAAAGACCAAGAAAGCUAUGUGUUUCAAAAGUAGAAAACAAAACAAAAUCAAAGGAGGGCACUUACAUAACACUUUGCUCACAUUAUUUGCCUGGCCCACACAGACUCUUGGAUGUGCAGUUCUUGCCAAUGAUUAAAUAAAUUUCAAACUGCUU
rnacentral:lncRNA from 10 species